UACAUGGGGUGCAAACGUUGCUCGGAAUUAUUGGGCGUAAAGCGCGCGUAGGCGGUUACUCAAGUCGGAUGUGAAAGCCCUCGGCUUAACUGAGGAAGUGCACCCGAAACUGAGUAGCUAGAGUACUAAAAGAGGGUCGCGGAAUUCCCGGUGUAGAGGUGAAAUUCGUAGAUAUCGGGAGGAACACCGGUGGCGAAGGCGGCGACCUGGGUAGAUACGUGACGCUGAGGAGCGAAAGCGUGGGGAGCGAACAGG
rnacentral:rRNA from 1 species